CGACAUUUGUGGUUUGAAUUGGAUUGGAAAUGGUGAUCCAAAGUGGAUAUGAUUGAGGAUUGUAGCUCCAAUAAGCUUAGGAAUCUAGGGUUUCGAGGUGAGGGAUAUGGAUGUGGAUUCAACGAUGUCAUCCGAAUCCGAUCACGAUCAGGAUAAAGGCGUGGCACCGGAGCAGCUAAACGGCCAGUCAUCAGCCGGGGGAUCUCUGCCGGAGACUCCUAAGGAUGAGCAACAGCCAGCAACUUCUCAGCAGCAGCAAGGCAGUACUCUGGUUGCGGGGCCGAGGUGUGCUCCUACAUAUUCUGUGGUGCACGCAGUUAUGGAGAAGAAGGAGGAUGGUCCAGGGCCAAGGUGUGGGCAUACAUUAACGGCUGUACCGGCUGUUGGAGAGGAAGGUAGCCCCAAUUACAUUGGUCCUAGGCUUAUUCUCUUUGGUGGGGCAACUGCUCUUGAAGGGAAUUCUGCUGGUUCAGGAACUCCUUCUUCUGCUGGAAGUGCUGGAAUUCGUUUAGCUGGGGCUACUGCUGAUGUGCACUGCUAUGAUGUUUUGACAAAUAAAUGGUCUCGGAUUACCCCAAUAGGAGAGCCACCCACACCACGGGCUGCUCAUGUUGCUACUGCAGUUGGAACUAUGGUUGUUAUUCAGG
rnacentral:misc_RNA from 1 species